GACGAACCGUGCGAACGUUGUUCGGAAUCACUGGGCUUAAAGGGCGCGUAGGCGGGCCUUCAAGUCCGGGGUGAAAGCCUCCAGCCUAACUGGAGAAGAGCCUCGGAGACUGAGGGCCUCGAGGGAGGUAGGGGCAAGCGGAACUAUGGGUGGAGCGGUGAAAUGCAUUGAUAUCCAUAGGAACUCCGGUGGCGAAGGCGGCUUGCUGGACCUCUUCUGACGCUGAGGCGCGAAAGCCAGGGGAGCAAACGGG
rnacentral:rRNA from 1 species